CCGGCACGGGUGAGUAACACGUAUGCAAUCCACCUGUAACAGGGGGAUAACCCGGAGAAAUCCGGACUAAUACCCCAUAAUAUGGGCGCUCCGCAUGGAGAGCCCAUUAAAGAGAGCAAUUUUGGUUACAGACGAGCAUGCGCUCCAUUAGCCAGUUGGCGGGGUAACGGCCCACCAAGCCUUCGAUGGAUAGGGGUUCUGAGAGGAAGGUCCCCCACAUUGGAACUGAGACACGGUCCAA
rnacentral:rRNA from 1 species